GUAUGCCCUAACGGCAUCAGGAACAUCGACCUCCAUUUCAUCAUCUGUAAGCUGGCUGCCCCUGUCAUCUCGGUGCUGCUGCUGUCCCUGUGUGUCCCCUACGUCAUAGCAGCCGGGGUCGUACCUGCCGUAGGUCUGUCAGGUCUGUCAGGUGUGACUCCAGAGAUGCAGAUUCUGAUUCAGAGGAGGAUCUACCCGUUCCUCCUGAUGGUGGUGUCCAUCAUUGGCAUCCUCUCCUUCCAGAUACGACAGUUCAAACGUCUCUACGAACACAUCAAGAACGACAAGUACCUGGUUGGCCAGCGGCUUGUCAACUACGAACGCAAGGCUAGGGGAACCAGCUCUGUCCCACCCCCUAACUCUAUCCCAGAGUAGUCAAGUUUGCUUUUGGAAACCACCCAUCUCGUGUCCUCCCUCCCCCUCUCUCCCACCCUCCCCUUUCC